CGAUUUUCCACCUCGAAAUGUAUAUUUUGUAACCUGUGUAAACAUGUUCUACAAGUGGGUGCGCGUUUCUGAUCGGAGGACUACGUUGUCUAUUUAUAGAUUUUCGGCACUGGCGCAGCCGUCUAUUGAGCGAAUUAAUGCUUGCCUCUAAGGAGUUUCUACGAGAUUACACUUCACGUAGUAUACGUGACGUAUCGUUCCUGUCGGAUCCGCGCAUCGGCGAUCUGUGAUCUGCAAGUCAUUCACAACACAACGUUGCAAGUAUCAGCCCUGCGUGUCGUCUUUGAAUCAUCAUGAGGGAAGGUCCGUUCGUCUCCGCUACGUUCUCUUCUGCUUUUCGUGAUCAGAGCGACGCAGACGUGGCUUACUUUGCCUCGUCCCCCCUCCCGAGAAAAAUAUAAAAACUGUGAGGAAUGUAGAAAGUACCUGGAGCGAGAUCAGAUGGAUAGAGGCCGAAGCAGACAAUCAAUAGAGAGGAUAAUUACGUCGAGGGAAUCGCUUCAACGCGACAGUCGGCUACAGAUCAAAGGGAAAAUCCGGUCCUAUUCGCAGUUUAAAAGCGAUCGUUUCACAAACGAGCGGAUUGGACAAUCAAUUUGACGCAAAUACACGGUACAGACUGAUGAUAUUUCCGGUGUUUGCGAGGAACACGUGUAAGUAGCACGUUACACAAGGCUCACACAUGUCUUCAGUGAAUGACGGCCUAACGAGCACGUUGGCUAUAAAUGUUCAUUUGAAUUAAUAGCCGAUGCUAUUACCGCCAGUUUGCUAUUGAUAUUAGCAUAUCUCAUUUGCGACGCACAUUCAUAAACUAAUGUUUUUGUAACGUUUUUUUAAUAUUUUUUCAACGUUUUGCUGACAUUUUACUCUGUACGUUCAUAGAAGAAGAAAGAAGAAAGAAAAACAAUUCAAUAUAUACGACGCGUGCAACGUAACUUAAUGUUACACUUCAAUUCUAUUCAUUUUUAACUCUGCUAAUUACUUUCUUUCGGAUAAUUAGUAGCAAACACAUAGGAUCGCAUAUAUUUAUAGUAAAGCGCUUCCAGUUUCUCAGUGAACAUCAAUUAACAGUAAAAUUAUAUUAAUGUUAUAAUUUCUCACUCCCAGCAAAAUAAAUGUAAUAUAACACAGUAUUUAUGUAACAGUUGUAUGUAACAGUUACAUUGUUGAGUGAAAAGUGAUGUAAUAUUGUUAUUAUUCAGAUAGCCCAAAUAUUAUAUUCUAUAAAUGUUCUAUGAAUAUUUUUUAUGAAUAAAAAUAUUGUUAUAUGUUUAUAGUAUAUUCGUAAUACUAAUCUAUAAUAAAUGCAUAUUACGUUACGAGAACUUUACAUAAAUAAACAUGCGCAGUAAACAAACUUUACAGAUAUUCUAAAUACAUUCUUUUCUAUUAUAAGAAUAUUUGCUUGUGACAUUAUAAGUAUAUUCACAGAAUAUUAGAUUCGAAUGUUCUGGGAUUAAGAACAUUUAUAUUUCAUAAGAAUCUUCAUAGAAUAUUUUGUGCUGUAAGUUGGUGUAUAUUUUGUGUAGGUAAGUUGAUGUUCACUGGGAAACGUUUAGAAAGGAUGACAAAAAAAGGGACAUACAAAAAAGGGAUAUACAAAAAAAGAGACAAUUCGACUUUCGAAUUCUUCGAGUAUCGAGACUGUCGAGAAAUUCUAAAUCUAGAGACACCGUUAUGUAAAUCGAAAUAAUAAGUCUAAAUUCUUAUAUAACAAUAAAUCGAAAUAAUAAGUCUAAAUUCUUUUUAUUUUUCUCACGGGCAAAUUGUAUAUCAUAUAGUAGAUAAAAUUCUUUUACUAUUUUUAGUCGUGAGGUACACGUGUUGCGGGAAGUGAUAUUACCGUGAGACUUUAAAUUCGGCGUUAAGCCGGCGCCAAGACGUGCAGGCCCAUUGAGAUUCCUGCUAUAUUUACACGGUUAUUUGAAUUAUUUAUCAUCUGGCAGAGAUACAAUUUAUAAGCGCGCCGUUUCUCCCACAGUCGAUAGGUCGAAACGUGUGACCCCGAGAACUCGACACUUGAACGUUAGCAUUUCUACGUUACACUUUAUAAUCACGCUCGUGGCGUUUCGACUUCGGCACGCUCAGCCGCUCACGUAACAGUUCACCCAUUUUAUCGGUCGACUUGUGGAAUUAUAUCAAGGUUUUAGUUAUAAAUGCGCAGACGUUCGUGUCAACUUCAAAUUGUAUUUCUAUAUAGAACAGAUACCCGAAAUACAUCUCAUGGGUAUUCUAUAGAUAUUGUGAUAUCUAUAGGAUGUCCAUGAGAUAUGUUUUAGAUAUUUGUUCUGUAUGGGUUAUUAUCUCGACAUGAUACGCGGUCACGCGUGGGUCGUGAGCAAAGAGAAACAAUAGAUUAGAGCGUAUCAUUCAGCCAGAACAAUCUCAAAAUGGUUCUAUGAUAUCCGCGUUGUUGUCUUCCUCAUUUUUCUCAAGAUUGCUUAUCGCAACGUUUGUAAUUGUCGCUCGACAAAUGUACGUAGAAAGGGCUACAUUUAGCAGUCGUUGACGAAUUAGUCAUUGACGCGCCUUUAAUUCGAACUUUCAGCCAUAUCUCAAGCUAUAUCUCAAUCUUCUUCGUCACAGAUAGAUCCGCGCGUUGUUUACUCCCCGGUGAAUCAUGUAUAUGUGAUUGUUGGCUUCAUCUACAUAAUGUUGGUCGCCGAUACAAAGCAACGCUUCGGUGGAACAAUAUUUACAACGUUGCAUUAGUAUAUCUUGCUUUCGGUUUCUCGAUCGAGGAGCACAAAAACAAAAUAUAUACGUAUUGACCGUUUCUGGCGUGUCAUAUAUUCCUAUCCUGUGACUCAAUUCUGCGAUAUUUCUUUAUG